rnacentral:tRNA from 1 species
GGUGCUGUGGCGUAGCAGGUAAAGCCUCUGCCUGUAGUGCAGACAUCCCAUAUGGGCGCCGGUUCAAGUCCUGGCUGCUCCA